GUGAGAAGUGCCUUUCGCCUCCCGCCAUGAUUCUGAGGCCUCCCUAGCCAUGGGGACCUGUCGUCGCUGCCCUCAGCCUCCAGAUGCAGCCCCCCUGCCACCUUCAGGACCCCUGGCUCUCCCCUGGACUCAGUAGCGAAAGGGUUUAUGUGCUCGGAGGGAGACCUUCAGGAAUCUGUGCAUAGAAUGCCAUAGUGCAGAGGAAACAGCCCCAGAAAAUGGAACAGCUGCUAAGUGAGACUCCUCAGCCAGGCCAGAGAAUGUGCAUUCUGACGGACUGCUUCUCAUUUGCACUGAUCACUGUCUUCUUUCUGAAACCAGCCCAACUUUUCUCCCAGAGAGUAUCAUGGAACUGAACUUUCAAGAUCAUGGCAUCUGGACAUCGAGAAAACAGAACCCUCAUCUGGCCACCUGCUGCUUUUUGACCAAUUCCCAUAUAAACCGCUAACUUCAGUCAGUUGGAGGGAUGGAUUUGAGAUUUGCCUUCUGUCUCUCAGGUGAUGUCACCAGCAAUAAAGCCUUCUUCCCUGG
rnacentral:lncRNA from 1 species